UUCACAGAUUAAUCCAACACGUUUCAGACAUGAAUUAAUCUCAUUAAUACAUCUCAACAGUUUAUGUAAUAGAUACUAUAGAGAAAUAAAAGAAGCAAAUUACACUACUAGUCAGAAUGGGACGGUGUGUCCUAAUCACGGACUGAUACCGUACAUGAAAGUUGAUUUGUGUUCAACAGAGCUAUGUGUGCGCAGGGGCGUCGCAGCCGUGAGUGUUACGGGUGUUGUGACACCCGCACUUUCACAGCAAACAUAAUUGGUAGUUAUUGAUGAAACGAAACUGAGUUUCCCAUACAUGAAGAACCUAUUGGUCAAGUUAGAUUAAUUGAACAGUCAUCCAGCCAAUCACAGCCGUUUGACCAAUCCACCAGACCAGGGAAGAGUAAACAGUUGAAGUAUAGUAAAGUUACGUUUGUGCAUUCAGCAACGAUGCUUCUGUUACUCACCGCUGGCUGUGAUAACAGAUUAGAGAAUAAGAGAUCAGAGCUUUGAGGAAGACUUCAGAUGAAGAGGGACCACUUCUUCCCUGUGGCUGUUGGAGAGGAAUUUGCACCUGCUGAUACAAAACCUCCUGGACAACUUUAGAUAUUUAAUUUCCCAAUUAAAGACAAUUAAAGGUCCCCUUUGGAUUCCUACUAAAAGAGACACUUUUUUAAAGAAAAAUGAAGACAGUUUAGGUUGUACUAGUCCAUGGACUCAGAAAUGACUCUUAACUGAUACUGAUUUGUUACCAGGGUUCAAUUUGUUAUGCAUCUAUAACCAUCCAUUUCAUUUUAAUGGAAGUGUAAGUUUCCUUUAAUUUCAUGUCUAUAAGGUAUGUGAGGAAGUAGGAUAAAGAUACUCUGUGAUUAUCUUAAGUAUAAUAAGGAUAGCUAUGCUCCAGUACAGCAAUUCAUACAAAUAACUGGAUGUAAGUAGUAAACUGCUAUGAGACCCUAAAUAAAUUCUGCUCAGUUGUUACACUCA